CAGGGAAGGCAGUGUUCCCCUUUGCUGCUGAUUCACCAGGAGCAAAUGCUGGUUCCCUGGCCGGCUGAUCAGCUGGAUUCAUCGCAGGAAUUUAAGUUCCAGCAGCAAGGACCGGCGGCGGAGCUGGAGAGCUGGAUCCCACUGAGAGGAUGAAAACAUGGGGCUCAAGUUAUCCUGCCUGAAAGGCUUGAAGACGUGUGUGAGCAGCGGGAACGGCAGCGACCGGCCCCCGACGGCGUCCUCGGGGGAGAAGCACCUGCACGUGCCCUCCAUCAUCGUCACGCCGCCAACACCC